UACGGGGGGGGCAAGCGUUGUUCGGAAUUACUGGGCGUAAAGGGCGCGUAGGCGGCUUACCAAGUCAGGCGUGAAAUUCCCGGGCUCAACCUGGGGGCUGCGCUUGAUACUGGUGAGCUUGAAUGCGGGAGAGGAUAGUGGAAUUCCCAGUGUAGAGGUGAAAUUCGUAGAUAUUGGGAAGAACACCGGUGGCGAAGGCGGCUAUCUGGCCCGUAAUUGACGCUGAGGCGCGAAAGCGUGGGGAGCAAACAGG
rnacentral:rRNA from 1 species